AAGUCGUAACAAGGUUUCCGUAGGUGAACCUGCGGAAGGAUCAUUACCGAGUGAAAUCUCUUCGUCCAGAAGAGAUGACCUCCCAACCCUAUGUUUAUUUGACCUCUUUGUUGCUUCGGCGAGUCCUUUCCGUCACGGGGAGGUUCACGUCCUGGUCUCUCGGGACUGGGAGCUCGUCGAUGGCCCAUAUCAAAUUCUUGUCCCUGAAACGUGUCGUCUAAAAAUUAUUUUUUGAGAAAUCAAAUCAAAACUUUCAACAACGGAUCUCUUGGUUCUGGCAUCGAUGAAGAACGCAGCGAAAUGCGAUAAGUAAUGCGAAUUGCAGAAUUUCCGUGAGUCAUCGAAUCUUUGAACGCACAUUGCGCCCAUUGGUAUUCCGAUGGGCAUGCCUGUUCGAGCGUCAUUAUCCUCUCUCACAUCCUCCGUGAUGUCGUGUUGGACUAUAGUUUUUCCGGAAACUCGGUCUCAAAGAUAAUGGCGGUGUCGUAGGACCCUCUGAUGCAACGAGCUUUCGGGCACGUAUCGGUCAGGGACUUGCGGUGCCGGUCUUUACCCAAAUUUUUUCAGGUUGACCUCGGAUCAGGUAGGAAUACCCGCUGAACUUAA
rnacentral:rRNA from 1 species